rnacentral:rRNA from 1 species
GACGAACGCUGGCGGCGUGCCUAAUACAUGCAAGUCGAGCGGAUGGAAGGAAGCUUGCUUCCUAAAGUCAGCGGCGGACGGGUGAGUAACACGUGGGAAACCUGCCCCUAAGAUCGGGAUAACUUCGGGAAACCGGAGCUAAUACCGGAUAUGAUUAUGUCUCACAUGAGACAUAAUGGAAAGACGGUUUCGGCUGUCACUUAGGGAUGGGCCCGCGGCGCAUUAGCUAGUUGGUGAGGUAACGGCUCACCAAGGCGACGAUGCGUAGCCGACCUGAGAGGGUGAUCGGCCACACUGGGACUGAGACACGGCCCAGACUCCUACGGGAGGCAGCAGUAGGGAAUCUUCCGCAAUGGACGAAAGUCUGACGGAGCAACGCCGCGUGAGUGAAGGAGGUUUUCGGAUCGUAAAACUCUGUUGUUAGGGAAGAACAAGUACCAUAGUAACUGAUGGUACCUUGACGGUACCUAACCAGAAAGCCACGGCUAACUACGUGCCAGCCGCCGCAGUAAUAC